rnacentral:rRNA from 1 species
UACGUAGGGGGCUAGCGUUGUCCGGAAUCAUUGGGCGUAAAGAGCGUGUAGGCGGCUCGAUAAGUCCGCUGUGAAAGUCCAGGGCUCAACCCUGGGAUGCCGGUGGAUACUGUCGGGCUCGAGUCCGGAAGAGGCGAGUGGAAUUCCUGGCGUAGCGGUGAAAUGCGCAGAUAUCAGGAGGAACACCAAUGGCGAAGGCAGCUCGCUGGGACGUGACUGACGCUGAGACGCGAAAGCGUGGGGAGCAAACAGG